GACGAACGCUGGCGGCGUGCCUAAUACAUGCAAGUAGAACGCUGAAGGAGGAGCUUGCUUCUCUGGAUGAGUUGCGAACGGGUGAGUAACGCGUAGGUAACCUGCCUGGUAGCGGGGGAGAACUAUUGGAAACGAUAGCUAAUACCGCAUAAUAGUAGAUGUUGCAUGACAUUUGCUUAAAAGGUGCAAUUGCAUCACUACCAGAUGGACCUGCGUUGUAUUAGCUAGUUGGUGGGGUAACGGCUCACCAAGGCAACGAUACAUAGCCGACCUGAGAGGGUUAUCGGCCACACUGGGACUGAGACACCGGCCAGACUCCUACGGGAGGCAGCAGGAGGGAAUCUUCGGCAAUGGACGGAAGUCUGACCGAGCAACGCCGCGGGAGUGAAGAAGGUUUUCGGGUCGUAAAGCUCUGUUGUAAGAGAAGAACGAGUGUGAGAGUGGAAAGUUCACAGUGUGACGGUAUCUUACCAGAAAGGGACGGCUAACUUCGUG
rnacentral:rRNA from 1 species